GAAACAUGAACCCAAUUCCCGCCCUCAAUUCCAAACCUAGCUGUAUAAAUAAAAUUUCUCCCAAUUCCAGAAGCCAUACGCCAUAUCUAUUUUAGGCUGCAGAUCCGGGAACCUGAGAAUUCGCCAUUGGGAGAAGCAACCUUUUUCUUCAACAAUUUUAUUGUUUCCACGCUCAUGACGGUGUUUUGCUUCAAAUAUCCAGAUUUGAUAGGUCUGUGUAUUGUAGGGGGGAAUUGUUUAUUAAUAUGCUAUUGUAGUGUUAUAUAAUUACAGAAGUUUAUUUAUUUAAAUUGUUUGAAAUACCCGUUUGUUUUCAUUGGAUUUCCUAAGAUUUUAAAUUGUUUGAAAUACCCGUUAUAUUUUGAUUCUUUGUUUAACAUGUGGCUCUGGGGUUUAAUUGAUAUUUGAAAGCCUUUGUGUAUGUCUGAUGUGGAGGUCAGUCGAAAUUUGAACUGUGAUAACUUAUAUUGCCAAAAAUCAUGUCGUAAUCUGAGUCGAGAUUCUGGCGAGGUGAUACCUCCUGCUGUGCAUUUAAAAUCACAUAUCAGCAUAUAAAGUUUUCCAAAUUCAAAUCACAUAAAAAAUUUAAUCUUGAUAUAUAUAUAUAUCUUGAGAGAGAAAAGAUGGAAGGAAUGAUUUUGCUUUGUGCCUAAUGUCAACUAAAGCUCUUGAUCGGGCGCUUCUACCCUCAUACCUAGGUCAGAUAGGGAUCUUUCUGUUCACAAGUAGUUUUGUUGGUUGGUUAAUUGGGCUCAUUUUAUUCAUGAAAUGGCUUCAUCCAACCAAAGAUGUACGUUAUUCAUUUCGGUAGUCAAAUUUUUUUUUUUUUUUUUUUCCAUAUGUUCUUAUGUCUAGUUUUGACAGCUAUAUAAUAUAUUGUAAUUGUUUGUUCCUUUUUUAAGACAUUUGAAAAUAAGGGUUCGGAGGUUAGGUUUUUACGGAGUUUCUGGACCUCGACAUCUCUAAAAUACUCUGAUGGGAAGAUUUAAGCCAGGCCGUCAGCCUUCAUGUUUGGGUUCUUUCAGCUUGUGGUGUUAUUGUGGGGUUCUGAGGGGAAGAAGAGCUCAGCGAUGCUGUCCUCCCUUGGCCAAUCCUUGCGACUGAAUACUACUUGUAUGACAACUGGAGGGUAAUUUUACCUGUAGAGUUCGUCAGAAAGGUUAGAUAGAGAAAUUUAAGGAGACUAGAACCUAAGGAGAAGGAUGAUGGUGAGCACACUGAGCUGGAGGACACAAAGGAUGAAGAAGGCAAUGACACGCAUUCAAAAUUUGCUGGUAAAAAGAAAGGAAAGGCCAAGAAAGAUGGAAGCAAUAAUGCAUUGAGUGCUUCAAGUUUUGGUUUGCUUGGAGAAGGAGAUGAGGAUAAUGAAGAUUCAGGAAUAACAAAGAGAAUGUUGAUUAUGAAAAAUCAGGAUAAUGAAGUAGCAGGUUUUGCACCUUGUGAGAAGCAAAUUACUGUUCUUCUUAAAGUUGGAAAGGACGAGAGAGCACUGAAAGUGGCGAAGAGGAAGUUGGGCACCCACAAGAGAGCAAAGAAGCGUGAAGAGAUGGCAUUUGUUCUCCGGAAGAUGAGGUGAAUGCCAGUAAUAUACAGGAGGUGAAUGCCAGUAAUAUAAAGUGUUAAUAUAAACAUACUAAAUUGUACAAUACUGAAGUUUUUGCAUGCGUUGUUUCAAUGGACUUGAGCACUUCUGUUGCUUAUUGGAUAUCUAG
rnacentral:lncRNA from 1 species